GGGGCGGCCGCCACACCAUGUCAAAUCCUACUCUGCUAGUCCCAGCGUAUGCUUCUCUGGAAAGUUGCGACCCGGCGAGUAACACCCAUGUAACCUGCCUGGUAGCGGGGGAUUUCUAUUGAAAACGACCGCUAAUACCGCACAAUACUACAUGUUGCACGACAUUUGCUAAGGUUGAGCGAUUGCAUCACUACCAGAUGGACCUGCGUUGUAUUAGCUAGUUGGUGAGGUAACGGCUCACCAAGGCAACGAUACAUAGUCGACCUGAGAGGGUGAUCGGCCCCCCUGCGACUGAGACACGGCCCAGACUCCUACGGGAGGCAGCAGUAGGGAAUCUUCGGCAAUGGACGGAAGUCUGACCGAGCAACGCCGCGUGAGUGAAGAAGGUUUUCGGAUCGUAAAGCUCUGUUGUAAGAGAAGAACGAGUGUGAGAGUGGAAAGUUCACACUGUGACGGUAUCUUACCAUACGAUGACGGCUAACUACGUGCCAGCAGCCGCGGUAAUACGUAGGUCCCGAGCGUUGUCCGGAUUUAUUGGGCGUAAAGCGAGCGCAGGCGGUUAGAUAAGUCUGAAGUUAAAGGCUGUGGCUUAACCAUAGUACGCUUUGGAAACUGUUUAACUUGAGUGCAAGAGGGGAGAGUGGAAUUCCAUGUGUAGCGGUGAAAUGCGUAGAUAUAUGGAGGAACACCGGUGGCGAAAGCGGCUCUCUGGCUUGUAACUGACGCUGAGGCUCGAAAGCGUGGGGAGCAAACAGGAUUAGAUACCCUGGUAGUCCACGCCGUACACGAUGAGUGCUAGGUGUUAGACCCUUUCCGGGGUUUAGUGCCGCAGCUAACGCAUUAAGCACUCCGCCUGGGGAGUACGACCGCAAGGUUGAAACUCAAAGGAAUUGACGGGGGCCCGCACAAGCGGUGGAGCAUGUGGUUUAAUUCGAAGCAACGCGAAGAACUUACCAGGUCUUGACAUCCCUCUGACCGCUCUAGAGAUAGAGUUUUCCUUCGGACAGGGUGACAUUCCUGCAUGGUUGUCGUUUCUCUGUCGUGAGAUGUUGGGUAAGUCCCGCACGAGCGCACCCCUUUGUUAUUGCCUCAUUCGUUGGGAAUCUAGCGAAUUGCCGGUAAAAACGGAGAAGGGGGGAUGGGUCAAUCU
rnacentral:rRNA from 1 species